ensembl:processed_transcript Gm20036 predicted gene, 20036
GCCAGAUCCGUGACUUCCGCGUAACCUGCGGAACUUUAGGUGGAGACUGAAAAGGCAGUGGCGGCGGCGGUGGCUCUUCCCACCUGCGCAGCUGCUUUUGUUUGUAUAAGUCCUCUAAAGCUCCGUGUCUGCUGGAACAUGGUCCAAGAAUGAAAUCCUGUGAGAAUUCUGGGUGCUUAGGAGAAAACUCUAAGACAAGACCAGAAUCUCAUGACCUUAUAGGGGAAUUUUAAUCCAACACCAUGGGUGCUCUGACAAGGGAUCACAUCCAAAGAUCUUCUAAGCCCACAGGAACUGGGCAGAAUACAGAAAAACCCUGAAAUACAGUAUGGUCUGGCUGGAAUACAGACACACCCUUAGUACACACCUCUAAUCCCUAACAUGAAGAUAAGGCAAGUUUGUAGAAGGAAGCAGCCUUGUUUGAAAGUGAUGUCUAAUUAAGGGACAAUGUGACGAACCAGAGAAAGAUUUGACAGAAUGAGUCAGAGAUAGGAUACAUCCAACUCACAGAACAGCAGAGGAAAGAGGCUACGAGAGACAGAGACACAGAGACUGAGACAGGGAGACAGGUGUGUGUGGAGAUUUUACCAGGAUGGUUUUACAGAAACAGGUUAGACACAUGUGAUGACAGAAGGAGCCAGAGAAUGAGAAGGAUCCAGAAGAUUAGAACAUGUUGCCAAAGUGAAGUAUAAAGCCAAGCAGAGCAAUUCAGUCAGAAACCAAGAGAAGACUGAAUCAGUCAGCUUGGAAGAUUAGAUUGUACGCAGAGGCUUGAAGCUUCCUAGCCUAGGCCUAGGGAUAGAAGAGGCAAACACUCUGGGCUCAGCCCAAGCCCU